rnacentral:rRNA from 1 species
CAAGAAUAUUAGUCAAUGCUCGCAAGAGUGAACUAGCUAACUGAAAUCUUAAUUUUUUUAAUUAUUAAGAUAAGGUAAGAGAAAAUAAUGAUAUUAUCUUACUAUUAGUGUCGUCUAAAUUUGGUGCCAGAAGACUCGGUAAGACCUUAGACGCGAACGUUAAUCGUCAUAAUCAGGCGUAAAGGGUGUGUAGGCGGCUUUAAAAAAAUUUAUAUUUAAAUUAAAGCUAGAAUCUAAAAGAGGGUAAGCUAAACAACAUAAUUAAUUAGGACUGACAACUUAUAAUAAUGUGGAGUACUAAAGGUUAAAGCUAUUUAUCUACUUAAGAUUGACGCUCAGAAACGAAGGGGAGAAUAAGAAACUUAGAUUAGAGACCUAAUUAUCUCUCUCAGUCAACGAUGAAUGGUAGUUAUUAAAAAUACAAAUAUAAUUUUAUUAUAUAGAUAUUAGUAACGAGGUUAACACGAUGACCAUUCCGCCUUGUUAGUAAGACUGCAAAGUUGAAAACAAAAAAAUUAGUCGGUCUUGAAGCAAACGAAGUGAAGCAUGUUAUUUAAUUCG